CAAUCUCUAAUCAUAUUAUAGUAUUAAAUUUAGGGUAAGGACUAGGGAACUGGGAGAGAGAAAGAGCAGGGAGUGGUGAUACGUUGUUGACAGAAGAUAGAGAGCACAGAUGGAUGACUUGCAAUGGACUAUGCAUCUCACUCCUUUGUGCUCUCUAUGCUUCUGUCAUCACCUAGCUAUAUCCAGCUUCCCUGCCCCUCCCCCACACCCCUGCACCUCCCAUAUUAAUCUAAUUCAUAAAAUGAUUAUUUGAUUG